rnacentral:ncRNA from 2 species
UUUAUCGCAUAACUCCGAGCUUGUUUAGUCUAAGUUCUCAAGCAGAAUAUGACGGCAAUGCCAAUAACGAUGUUUGUUAUUCAGGGAUAAGUUGGAAACGGCUUGUCCUCUCCAUUUUAGAAAGGUGUCUCAUGCAAUCCAUU